AGAACGAACGCUGGCGGCGUGGAUAAGACAUGCAAGUCGAGCGCUAAUUAAAGGGUAGCAAUACUCUUUGAUUGGAGCGGCGCAAGGGUGCGUAACACGUGGGUAAUUUGCCAUGAAGUUGGGGAUAACUCGCUGAAAGGCGAGCUAAUACCGAAUGUGGCCCGAUGGAGGCAUCUCUGUUUGGCUAAAGCUGGGGACCGUAAGGCCUGGCGCUUUUUGAUAAACCCGCGGCCUAUCAGCUAGUUGGUGAGGUAACGGCCCACCAAGGCUAAGACGGGUAGCUGGUCUGAGAGGACGACCAGCCACACUGGAACUGAGACACGGUCCAGACACCUACGGGUGGCAGCAGUCGAGAAUUUUUCACAA
rnacentral:rRNA from 1 species